rnacentral:tmRNA from 1 species
GGGGUCGAAUGGUUUUGACAGCGGGUUGAAUGGAACCGUAAGCAUGCCGAGCGUCGUAGGAAUGGCUCGUAAACCCAGCCUUCAAUUCUUUAAACGGCGAAAAUAACUACGCUCUAGCUGCGUAAUCUGAAUCAUAGUAAGAUUACCCUCGUCCCAACUAGGUUGGGAGGCUGGAUUCCUUGCAGAAGCCUUGGUUUGUGGCGUCUGAAAACAGGGAACCGUAAACAUAAACCUGGAAGUGGUAAUGCUUUAACCCCACUUUGAGACAAAAAAAGCUAAGUGUAUGGUGGCUGAUUUUGGCCUAGCUAUGCAUCGAAAACCCAAUCAAAAUCUAAUCAUGUAGAAAGCGCUUGCAUUACCUGUUUGGACCCGAGUUCGAAUCUCGGCGGCUCCACAA